CACGCCGUAAACGAUGAGUGCUAGAUAUCGGGAGUUUUUCUUUCGGUUUCGUAGUUAACACGUUAAGCACUCCGCCUGGGGAGUACGAUCGCAAGAUUAAAACUCAAAGGAAUUGACGGGGGCUCGCACAAGUGGUGGAGCAUGCGGUUUAAUUCGAUGCUACGCGAAAAACCUUACCAACCCUUGACAUGGUGAUCGUAGGUUACAGAAAUGUAACCGUCAGUUCGGCUGGAUCACACACAGGUGU
rnacentral:rRNA from 1 species